UACGUAGGUGGCAAGCGUUGUCCGGAAUUAUUGGGCGUAAAGCGCGCGCAGGCGGUCCUUUAAGUCUGAUGUGAAAGCCCACGGCUCAACCGUGGAGGGUCAUUGGAAACUGGGGGACUUGAGUACAGAAGAGAAGAGUGGAAUUCCACGUGUAGCGGUGAAAUGCGUAGAGAUGUGGAGGAACACCAGUGGCGAAGGCGACUCUUUGGUCUAUAACUGACACUGAGGCGCGAAAGCGUGGGGAGCAAACAGG
rnacentral:rRNA from 1 species